AGAGACAGCAGUCGCCGCGGGAAUACGGAGGGUGCAAGCGUUAAUCGGAAUUACUGGGCGUAAAGCGCACGUAGGCGGCUUGGUAAGUUAGAGGUGAAAGCCCGGAGCUCAACUCCGGAAUUGCCUUUAAGACUGCCGAGCUAGUAGGUGAGAGAGGUAAGUGGAAUUCCGAGUGUAGAGGUGAAAUUCGUAGAUAUUCGGAAGAACACCAGUGGCGAAGGCGGCUCACUGGACUGGUAUUGACGCUGAGGUGCGAAAGCGUGGGGAGCAAACAGGAUUAGAUACCCCCGUAGUCCCUGUCUCUUAUAA
rnacentral:rRNA from 1 species